CCUACGGGUCGCACCAGUGGGGAAUAUUGCACAAUGGGCGCAAGCCUGAUGCAGCCAUGCCGCGUGUAUGAAGAAGGCCCUAGGGUUGUAAAGUACUUUCAGUCGGGAGGAAGGCGUUGAUGCUAAUAUCAUCAACGAUUGACGUUACCCGCAGAAGAAGCACCGGCUAACUCCGUGCCAGCAGCCGCGGUAAUACGGGGGGUGCAAGCGUUAAUCGGAAUUACCGGGCGUAAAGCGCACGCAGGCGGUCUGUCAAGUCGGAUGUGAAAUCCCCGGGCUCAACCUGGGAACUGCAUUCGAAACUGGCAGGCUAGAGUCUUGUAGAGGGGGGUAGAAUUCCAGGUGUAGCGGUGAAAUGCGUAGAGACCUGGAGGAAUACAGGUGGCGAAGGCGGCCCCCUGGACAAAGACUGACGCUCAGGUGCGAAAGCGUGGGGAGCAAACAGGAUUAGAUACCCGGGUAGUC
rnacentral:rRNA from 1 species